CUGGGGCGGGAGGUUUCCCCGUCGCAGGCCUUGGAGCGUGUCGCAGUGUUCGUAAUCCGCGUGUGCGGCCGUGUUGGUGAGAACAAAGAAAAUGGGAAGAAAAAGCCACGUGCGCUGGAGCUUGCUCGGUGUCAUCCCGGCUGAUCGGCUCCUGGAGGAGAGCAGUAUCUGAGCUGCAUCGAGGAAAUAAACGUUUUUGGCCUGGUCCUGAGGAGAAUGCAAUGCUCACCCCAGAACUGCUGCUGCAGGAGCACCAUCUCAGAGGAGGACACAGAGACCAUCACAGCUACAAGCAUCUGACAGACUGAAGGACUCCAAAGGGGAUAGACAACAUGCUGUAGAUGCACGGGCAGUGAUCUGAGAGUCAAAGAUACGAGCAGAGGCACGUAAGGAUGUCACACUAUACAGAAGCUCCAUUUCUAAUUGUUCUGUGGUGGAGUUACAUGACCGAACAGGGCUGUGGAUGUUAUCUGCUGUGCUUGUAAUGCACUGAGUGGCUUCUACCUCAUCCUUUGCCUCCAUCUGUUUCUCUACUGCUCCCGUUGAGCCCACACGACUAUCUCCAGAAGUGAAUAUGAAAGAUGCAGGAGUCUGACUCUACUCCCCACACAGAUCAUGACUGAGGACUGUGAGUAGACAGUCUCCUUGGGCUCCCUCCCACCAGCGCAAGGCAUGUAAGCAAUGAGACCAAAGGAGCCCUCCUGGGUUGUGGUGACCAAGCCCAGCUAAUGCAAGCAGCCAUGUCACAUAAACCUGUCCAUAAAGGCAUCUGACAGCCUGCCCUCAUUACUGCUGUGAAGAGACUCUCCAAAAAUCCACUCCUCUAAUGGUCUGGAAAUCACCCAGGGCCAAGAAUCAAAUGCAAAGGCAGCCCUAAGACUGGGUCUAGCAUGGAGUCAAGAGUAGGAUGCUGUGUUCCUUGCAUGAGCAGAGGAGCCUGUGCAGCCACACUUUGCCUGGGGCAGGCUUCCAUCCCAACAGCAAGGGAACAGAAGACAGACGGGCAUUGGUCCCAAGAACAGGCGGUAACGAAAUCAAGCUGGACCAUCUGGAUUGCUCAGUGCCUGCCAUCCCACCAACUACAGGAGGAUACUGGGAGGGGGAAGCACCUGCCAUGGCAAAGGGACAAGAAUUGGGUGCGACAGGAAUGCCGCCAGCUCCAUGCAAUCCCAGGGCUGGGACUUCGUGUGCUGAAAUCCGAGAGAUAACAAAUGAAAGUGAAACAUCUGAGAAGCCUAAAAAGCAAUGGAUGAAGCAGGACAGAGGAAUAUCUUUCUGGUGACACCAGGAAUAGAGAAUCAGUUUCAAAAUGAAACGUGGGGGCUGAAAAGCAUCCAGCAACAUCUCAUUUGACUUGGACUCAUUCUAAGAGGAGACCUUGGUGCCACCCAGAGGGUGUGAGCUCAAGGAAGAGCCUGGAGCAAGAAGAUCCCAUUUCCUGAUGCUGCAUCUUGGAGGGUGUGGGAUGGGAAGAGCUUUGCUGGAUAAGGGAGAAAACAGCAAUGUCCUCAGAAACUUUGAGCAUGCUGCUGACACACUGGAGGAAAACCAUGGGCUGCACGUGUGAGAAGGAUUCCCUCACUGUAUCUCUAUUGGGUUUUUUAUUAAACACUGACAUGAAAACGUG